rnacentral:rRNA from 1 species
CUACGGGAGGCAGCAGUAGGGAAUAUUGCACAAUGGAGGAAACUCUGAUGCAGCGACGCCGCGUGAGUGAUGAAGGACUUCGGUUCGUAAAGCUCUGUCGUAUGGGAAUAAGAAAGUGAAUGUACCAUGCAAGAAAGGAUCGGCUAACUUCGUGCCAGCAGCCGCGGUAAGACGAGGGAUCCUAGCGUUGUUCGGAAUCAUUGGGCGUAAAGCGGAUGUAGGUGGCUUUGUAAGUCAGGUGUGAAAGCCCCGGGCUCAACCCGGGAAGUGCAUUUGAUACUGCGAAGCUUGAGUGCUGGAGAGGUUACUAGAAUACCUGGUGUAGUGGUGAAAUACGUAGAUAUCAGGUGGAAUACCGGAGGCGAAGGCGGGUAACCAGCCUGACACUGACACUCAGAUCCGAAAGUGUGGGGAUCAAACAGGAUUAGAAACCCGAGUAGUCC